GAAUUCGCCCUUAGAGUUUGAUCCUGGCUCAGGACGAACGCUGGCGGCACGCCUAACACAUGCAAGUCGAACGGACGAGGAGGAGCUUGCUUCUCCGAGUUAGUGGCGGACGGGUGAGUAACACGUGAGCAACCUGCCCUUGAGGGGGGGAUAGCUUCUGGAAACGGAUGGUAAUACCCCAUAACAUAUAUUUUAGGCAUCUAAGAUAUAUCAAAGAAAUUCGCUCAAGGAUGGGCUCGCGUCUGAUUAGAUAGUUGGUGAGGUAACGGCCCACCAAGUCGACGAUCAGUAGUCGGACUGAGAGGUUGAACGGCCACAUUGGGACUGAGACACGGCCCAGACUCCUACGGGAGGCAGCAGUGGGGAAUAUUGCACAAUGGGGGGAACCCUGAUGCAGCGAUGCCGCGUGGAGGAAGAAGGUUUUCGGAUUGUAAACUCCUUUUAACAGGGACGAUAAUGACGGUACCUGAAGAAAAAGCUCCGGCUAACUACGUGCCAGCAGCCGCGGUAAUACGUAGGGAGCGAGCGUUGUCCGGAAUUACUGGGUGUAAAGGGAGCGUAGGCGGGACGGUAAGUCAGGUGUGAAAUAUACGUGCUCAACAUGUAGACUGCACUUGAAACUGCUGUUCUUGAGUGAAGUAGAGGUAAGCGGAAUUCCUAGUGUAGCGGUGAAAUGCGUAGAUAUUAGGAGGAACAUCGGUGGCGAAGGCGGCUUACUGGGCUUUUACUGACGCUGAGGCUCGAAAGCGUGGGGAGCAAACAGGAUUAGAUACCCUGGUAGUCCACGCUGUAAACGAUGAUUACUGGGUGUGGGGGGACUGCCCCCUUCCGUGCCGCAGUUAACACAAUAAGGUAAUCCACCUGGGGAGUACGACCGCAAGGUUGAAACUCAAAGGAAUUGACGGGGGCCCGCACAAGCAGUGGAGUAUGUGGUUUAAUUCGACGCAACGCGAAGAACCUUACCAGGCCUUGACAUGGAAACAAAUACCCUAGAGAUAGGGGGAUAAUUAUGGAUCACACAGGUGGUGCAUGGUUGUCGUCAGCUCGUGUCGUGAGAUGUUGGGUUAAGUCCCGCAACGAGCGCAACCCUUGUCGCAUGUUACCAGCAUCAAGUUGGGGACUCAUGCGAGACUGCCGGUGACAAACCGGAGGAAGGUGGGGAUGACGUCAAAUCAUCAUGCCCCUUAUGGCCUGGGCUACACACGUACCACAAUGGCGACCACAAAGAGCAGCGACUUGGUGACAAGAAGCGAAUCUCAUAAAGGUCGUCUCAGUUCGGAAUGAAGUCUGCAACUCGACUUCAUGAAGUCGGAAUCGCUAGUAAUCGCAGAUCAGCAUGCUGCGG
rnacentral:rRNA from 1 species